rnacentral:rRNA from 1 species
UACGUAGGGGGCUAGCGUUGUCCGGAUUUAUUGGGCGUAAAGAGCGUGUAGGCGGCCAGGUAGGUCUGCUGUGAAAACUCGAGGCUCAACCUCGAGACGUCGGCGGAAACCAUCUGGCUAGAGUCCGGAAGAGGAGAGUGGAAUUCCUGGUGUAGCGGUGAAAUGCGUAGAGAUCCGGAGGAACACCAGAGGCGAAGGCGGCGCCCUGGCUCGAAACUGACGCUGAGACACGACAGCAUGGGGAGCGAACGGG